rnacentral:rRNA from 1 species
UGCGUAGGUGGCGAGGUAAGUCGGAUGUGAAAUCUCGGAGCUCAACUCCGAAACUGCAUUGGAAACUGCUUUGCUCGAGGGUUGGAGGGGGGACUGGAAUACUUGGUGUAGCAGUGAAAUGCGUAGAUAUCAAGUGGAACACCAGUGGCGUAAGCGAGUCCCUGGACAACUCCUGACACUGAGGCACGAAAGCUAGGGGAGCAAACA